GACGAACGCUGGCGGCGUGCUUAACACAUGCAAGUCGAACGGUGAACGAGGGAGCUUGCUCCCUCCGGAUCAGUGGCGAACGGGUGAGUAACACGUGAGCAAUCUGCCCCGAACUCUGGGAUAAGCGUUGGAAACGACGUCUAAUACCGGAUACGACGCGGGAGGGCAUCCUCUCCGCGUGGAAAGAACUUCGGUUCGGGAUGAGCUCGUGGCCUAUCAGCUUGUUGGUGAGGUAACGGCUCACCAAGGCGACGACGGGUAGCCGGCCUGAGAGGGUGACCGGCCACACUGGGACUGAGACACGGCCCAGACUCCUACGGGAGGCAGCAGUGGGGAAUAUUGCACAAUGGGCGCAAGCCUGAUGCAGCAACGCCGCGUGAGGGACGACGGCCUUCGGGUUGUAAACCUCUUUUAGCAGGGAAGAAGCGAAAGUGACGGUACCUGCAGAAAAAGCACCGGCUAACUACGUG
rnacentral:rRNA from 1 species